CUGGACUGAGGACUGGCACAAGAUCCAUGUUUUGCCACCUACAAGUAUUACACUACCAACCACAUUUGCAUCCCAGCAGAAACAAAUGUGACUUGUCAGGAUGGAUUCAGUUACUUGAAAUUUGAUAAAUAUUGCAAACUAUGGACGUACAGAUAAAACCACCUGCUCUAAAGGACGUCCAUUCGAACAGCUCCAAAACACCAACUGCUCUUCACCCAAUGCACUGGCUCCUGUGUCCAAAAGCUGCAAUGGUCUGGAAAGUUGUGAGGUGUUUGCGACACAUACAGUCUUUACUGAUCGCUGCAUUGGCACAUACAAGUACCUCGCGAUCUCUUAUUUUUGUAGCCUACCUGCAGUUCGCGAGUGUCCGUUAACCUCUCUACUUCCUACUCAUUUCUGUUCAGGAAGUGUUUAGCACAGGGGUCUCCAAACUCUGUCCUGGAGGGCCGGUGUCCUGCAGUGUUUAACUCAAACUUGCCUCAGCACACCAGCCUGGAAGUUUCUAGUAUGCCUAGUAAGAGCUUGAUUAGCUGGUUCAGGUGUGUUUAACUGGGGUUGGAGCUGAAUUCUGCAGGACUCUUAUAGUACACACAAGCCUGUUUUAUUUGAAAGAUUACAGUGUUCACUUUUCUAAACUGUUCUUGCAUCCUCUGUGUUUUUGUAGGUUCAAGUGUGAUCUGUGAACAUGCAAAUAAUACUCUGUGUGGUGUGUAUUAUGCUACAUGAGCACUGCUUAUUUUUCUUUGAGAAAGUAGUAUUACUGUGUUUAUAGCAAAAUUGUAGAGGCUGAUAUUGUGGAUUUGACGACUUCAGAUCAGAUUUGAUUAAAUGAAUUCUUCUGAAACUGAAACUAAAGCCCCAAUCGUCCUUGCAGUAAGUGCUUUGAAGAUGCAUGAAGCAGUGCUUUCUAGUCUGCAGUAUCACUGAUGGUGCAUGGGAUGGUUUAUCAUGAAGUAAAACAAAUGCCAUUAAAUAUAACCCAAAACUAAAUAUGAGCAGUCAGACUGGGGAUUUAUAGAGUGCAUUAGAACUGGCAAAUGGAGAACACAACAUGGCUAUUGCACUUUUAUUAUUAGCCCUCAAAUUUGAAUUCCAUUCAGUGUCUCUGCAGAACCAUCAUGGAUAUUUUCCAGUUGGUGUGUUGAGAUUUAUUUAUUUUUUUGAUCACUUUUCCCAAUUUUCUAAACUCAUAAUGCAUACACUUAACCUAGUGCCCAGUGGGUUAGAGCAAAUUGAGUAAACCGCUUAAAAAAUGCCCUUCCUGGGGUGCGUUUCCCAAAAACAACUAUGGUUGCAAGUUGUGUCAUUACCAAUAGAGUUCAAUGGAACUUACGGCACUUCAAUGGAAUAGUUAGCUAACAAUGCUUUUGGGAAAUGCACCACUUGUGGACUGAUUGACUGGAGCACCCAAUAGUUGACCACAUCAGUUCACACAGGGUGUUUUUGAUCUGUUUAAUUCUGAACUAGUUGGGUAUCUUUGGCCAUUGUUCUGCAUCUUGUACGGUAAGCCAGCAGAUUCAGAAUUGACGUAAGCCCUAUUCGCACAGGACUGGUUCCCUGUGGAGCUUGGUUAAAUCCUUUGGUCCCAGACUUC